ensembl:lncRNA
AAAAAAAAAAGGAAUAUAAAAAGCUGUUUUCAGGUUUAUAUAGUCAGAGAGAGAGAGAGAGAGAGAGAGAGAGAGAGAGAGAGACAGAGACUUACUUUAAGGCAUAAGGGGCAGGACCACCUAACCCCAAUGCCCAGCCCCCUCACCCUCUGAAGAGACACUAAAGCACAUUUACUCUCUCUCUCACUCUGGCUCUCAGUGCCUAUGUCCAGACUGCUGCUUCAGACCUCACCGCCCCUUUCCAUUCAAACCAACUUUAAGCCAGACUUCUGAGUGUGUGAGCCAGCAUUUCAUCAACAGUCUGCUGUGCACUUUCAGGAGCCUCUUAAUUUGUUAAAGUUUCAGCUGGAGAAAAGUGACCAACAGUGACCAUGAUGAGGAUCAUACUACUGCUUCUGGUCACCCUGACGGGGCCUUUCUGUACCUUUACCCAAGCAAGUACUCUGGUGGUGCCAACAGCUAUUGGUUCAACUCCACAACCAAAUCUUGCAUCAGAUUCACCUACUUUCACAUACACAACAGAGGUAACAUCUCCUCAAGAUGCUGUUUCAACGUCAGAGCCUGCUCCUGAGGUUACAGAAGCAGCUGCCACGACAGAAGAAGUGCCAAUGGUUUCCACAACAGCACCAGUGAUACAGUCAGAAGCCCCAUUCGAAACAACAGCCCUAACAGAUACAACACAAUCAACAGAAGCUGUACCUAUAGAGACAACCAGCCCUGAAGCCACUACUGUCUUUGCAGAAGCAGAAAUGCCUGAGAAAGUUGAAGACAUAGAAUCAAAGACUGCAGAUGAAGAGGUGGAGGAUGAAGGUAUGGGCACAGGACAGUUGGUGGGGAUCGUAAUCGGUGCAUUGAUCACAGUGAUUGUUGUCAUUGCUGUAAUCAUCUUGUUGGUCAGAAGAAUGGGCCAAUACUCGACUGCAAAGAAACGAAAGCCUCAAAAACAAAAGAGCAUCUUGAUCUCUCCCCUGAAAAGAAAGGCACGACAGGAAGAGAAAAAGAAGAAAUCCGGGAAGUUCUGAACUAUUGUUCUGAUGUUAAAAACAAUCCAAGCAGCACUCUCACCAUCCAUCCAGGACUGUACGGGGAGCAGGAGAGUGUCCCAUCCCCUUUCCCAUUGAAAAAGAUGCCCUCCCACAAAAACACCUUCCCAGUGCCCACAAGUUAUUUUAUUUAGCCUGAAAAACCUUAUUUAUCCCAAUAGUGGGAGGCCACAGGAAGUUACAGUAUCUUUUUUUAAUGCAUAUUAAUGUAACAGGAGAUUAAUGAAUGUUCAAUUUGUAAAGGGCCUAAUAAACAAAAACAAACAAACAGCUGCCCAUGCAAGCAAAAGCUUGUAUGUUUUUAUAUCAUACAGAAAAAAAAACUAAUCCAAAAUCAUUAUUCUUUUCCCAUUCUACAGAUGUGUCCAUUUGGACUAUGACGCAUUAUGAACAGUCUUUGAACUGUCAUAAGCAGAUGCUGAGGACACAUUCUGUUCUCAAGAUGUGUAACCGGCUUUAACUAAUAAAUAUUUUUUAAAUUAUUAGUUAAGGGGAGCAGCACACAAUAAGUGCUUGAGAUUUACUCAUUUGAAAGUGCACUAGUACAGAGUGACUUGACUGUGUUGUUCUUAACUGUCACCCAUUCCAAAAGUGACAUCAUUUCCUCUGGAACGCAUCAUUUAUUGUGUGUUCCAAUCCGCUUAGCUCCAGCGCACAGCUGCUAUUGGCAUGUAUCUCUAAAAUCCUGAUGUUCCUCAGCCUGGACUACAUCAUUUUAACAGCAUACUACAGACAUUUUGCAUGGUAUAGUUGAGUUGUUUGCAUUUCUUUUUGUCAGUGUUGAGGUUUGUGUUUCUUUCUGAUGUUCGAGAGCAUUGCUAUCCUGGGCUUUGCUUUAAGAGAUCAGUAUUAGGUGCACUGAAUGAUGAAGAAUAAAUGUUUAGUAUUGACAAGACACUGCAGUUGUUUGCAACGAUAUUUUGUGUUUCUUGCUUGCCAGAUUCCUCUUUAUUUCUCGUUACUCCAUGAUCUCAUUUUGCCAUUUGAUGUCAGAAUCCAGUUAAAGCCAAGAGUUUGACUUUGUGUUUUGGGGUUUUGUUUUACUUAUUGUUCAAUCAAUUUCAAUAAAAAAGUUCCAAAGUAUGUUACGCUGCCAUAUUGUGUUGUUGUGGAUCCCAGAUAACAUUGUCUGUUUAUCUGUGUUUACUUUUCAGCCCCUUUUACUCAGCAUUCCAGCUUUACACACACAUUUACGCCCAUGCACUGUCUCUUUCUCACACAAACACACACCCACACAUUCCCUUUCUCUGUCUCUCUAAUCCAAUAGGUUAUAAAGACUGUAAAAGACAAGGGAGAUAGAGGAAGAGAUAUGCAGAGUCAAUGAAUAAAGGCAUCUUUGUAAAUAUGACUAUGCACUUAAGUGCCCUCUCUGGUUAAGUAACGUAAAUAGCAUGAGAGUCCCAAACAGCUGGCCCCAAAACGUAUUUGGACAUUGACUUUCAUUUGGAAAUGGACCAUAACAGUUUCUUUUUUCCAUUCAUUUUUCAAGUAUCUGUACUUUAUCAGAUUCUUUUUUUAUUUUAUUUUUGGCCUUCUCAUUACUUUUCCAUUUUAGAUUCCAAAGAUGUCUAACGUUUUACUUCACUAAUAAUGCACACGUUUUAUUAAAGUCAGCAUGAAAAUGAAAAUUCACCAAAUCUAAUUUGUAAACGGACUUUGUUAUUGAUCUUUUCCAUAUUG